rnacentral:rRNA from 1 species
CAAUAGCGUAUAUUUAAGUUGUUGCAGUUAAAAAGCUCGUAGUUGGAUUUCGGUUAAGAGCGACCGGUCCGCCGUUUGGUGUGCACUGGUUGGUUUUAACUUCCUGUAGAGGACGUGCUCUGGGUUUAACGACCUGGACUCGGAGUCUACGUGGUUACUUUGAAAAAAUUAGAGUGUUCAAAGCGGGCUUACGCUUGAAUAUUUCAGCAUGGAAUAGCACUAUAGGACUCCUGUCCUAUUUCGUUGGUCUCGGGACGGGAGUAAUGAUUAAGAGGAACAGUUGGGGGCAUUCGUAUUUCAUUGUCAGAGGUGAAAUUCUUGGAUUUAUGAAAGACGAACUUCUGCGAAAGCAUUUGCCAAGGAUGUUUUCAUUAA